rnacentral:misc_RNA from 1 species
UCUCCGUUGGUGAACCAGCGGAGGGAUCAUUACAGAGUUAUCUAACUCCCAAACCCAUGUGAACUUACCAUUUGUUGCCUCGGCAGAAGCUACCUGGUUACCUUACCUUGGAACGGCCUACCCUGUAGCGCCUUACCCUGGAACGGCCUACCCUGUAACGGCUGCCGGUGGACUACCAAACUCUUGUUAUUAUAUUGUAAUCUGAGCGUCUUAUUUUAAUAAGUCAAAACUUUCAACAACGGAUCUCUUGGUUCUGGCAUCGAUGAAGAACGCAGC